GUGGUGCUGUGGUGAAGAGAGGAAACAGCGCAAACAGAAUCAGUCAGCGGUGGGGAACUAGGCUUGCUGCUUCUUCCACCCAGCUCCCUCUCCAUUCCAGAGUUCUAGAUGCCGGUUCCUGAUUCAAGUCACACGCCAAUGCUGGCCUUCAAAAGCAGCAGCCUGGUCCACGUGUGUCAAUGAGGAGGAUCCCGGACAGGCUGAACCUGCGGGCUCCAACCAUCUCAGCCCAAAUGCUGCAGGCUGCUGGGGGGCAGAACUCACCAGGCAGGACUCUGAGGGGAGGGUGGCUGGCCAGGGGUAAAGGGGAGCAUGGACAGGGAGCUGGGAGCAGGGCAGAGGUCAGCCGGCUGAAGAAUUCCCCAAAUUCUUUUCCCUUGGCCCUCCACACUCCAAAUCUCCCAUCUUAAAGAAAAAUAUAAUGUCACUGAAACUGGACUUGCUGUUCUUGACGUGGUAUCUUCUAUGGCUAAAGUGGCAACUGUGAAGUCAUUUGUUGAAAUGGAAGUGUCCGAAGUUCAAAACAACCUGGAUCCCUGGGGCACAGAAUUUUCCACAGUUUAUUGUGAUCCACACAUUGGAAAUUCCCAGUUCAUGUCUGAAGACCAG
ensembl:lncRNA